rnacentral:rRNA from 1 species
UGGGGAAUAUUGCACAAUGGGGGAAACCCUGAUGCAGCGACGCCGCGUGAGCGAAGAAGGCUUUCGAGUCGUAAAGCUCUGUCCUAUGAGAAGAUAAUGACGGUAUCAUAGGAGGAAGCCCUGGCUAAAUACGUGCCAGCAGCCGCGGUAAUACGAAGGGGGCUAGCGUUGUUCGGAUUUACUGGGCGUAAAGCGCACGUAGGCGGACUUUUAAGUCAGGGGUGAAAUCCCGGGGCUCAACCCCGGAACUGCCUUUGAUACUGGAAGUCUUGAGUAUGGUAGAGGUGAGUGGAAUUCCGAGUGUAGAGGUGAAAUUCGUAGAUAUUCGGAGGAACACCAGUGGCGAAGGCGGCUCACUGGACCAUUACUGACGCUGAGGUGCGAAAGCGUGGGGAGCAAACAGG